rnacentral:rRNA from 1 species
GACGAAGGUGGCGAGCGUUGUUCGGAAUCACUGGGCAUAAAGCGCACGUAGGCGGCGACGUAAGUUGGGUGUGAAAAUCCCUCGGCCCAACCGAGGAACUGCGCCCAGUACUGCGUUGCUUGAGGAUCCAAGGGGGUGCAUGGAAUUCCCGGUGGAGCGGUGAAAUGCGUUGAUAUCGGGAGGAACUCCGGGCGGCGAAAGCGGUGCACUGGUGGAUUUCUGACGCUGAGGUGCGAAAGCCAGGGGGAGCAAACGGGG